rnacentral:misc_RNA from 1 species
CUGCGCCGCGUCGCGCUGGUGGAUCAGAACAAGAUCGGCCUCGGGAUUUCGGUGUUCGUUUCGGUGGAAAGCGGCGAUCACUCCGACGCCUGGCUGAAGAAAUUCGCCGAUGCCGUCAGCGCCAUGCCCGAGGUAAUGGAGUUCUACCGGAUGGCGGGCGAUGUCGAUUACAUGCUGCGCGUGGUCGUCGCCGACAUGCAGAGCUAUGACAUCUUUUACAAGAAGCUCAUCAGCGCAGUCGCGCUGA